UAGGGAAUCUUCGGCAAUGGACGGAAGUCUGACCGAGCAACGCCGCGUGAGUGAAGAAGGUUUUCGGAUCGUAAAGCUCUGUUGUUAGAGAAGAACGUUGGUAGGAGUGGAAAAUCUACCAAGUGACGGUAACUAACCAGAAAGGGACGGCUAACUACGUGCCAGCAGCCGCGGUAAUACGUAGGUCCCGAGCGUUGUCCGGAUUUAUUGGGCGUAAAGCGAGCGCAGGCGGUUCUUUAAGUCUGAAGUUAAAGGCAGUGGCUUAACCAUUGUACGCUUUGGAAACUGGAGGACUUGAGUGCAGAAGGGGGGAGUGGAAUUCCAUGUGUAGCAGUGAAAUGCGUAGAUAUAUGGAGGAACACCGGUGGCGAAAGCGGCUCUCUGGUCUGUAACUGACGCUGAGGCUCGAAAGCGUGGGGAGCAAACAGG
rnacentral:rRNA from 1 species